GACGAACGCUGGCGGCGUGCUUAACACAUGCAAGUCGAACGGAAAGGCCCUGCUUUUGUGGGGUGCUCGAGUGGCGAACGGGUGAGUAACACGUGAGUAACCUGCCCUUGACUUUGGGAUAACUUCAGGAAACUGGGGCUAAUACCGGAUAGGAGCUCCUGCUGCAUGGUGGGGGUUGGAAAGUUUCGGCGGUUGGGGAUGGACUCGCGGCUUAUCAGCUUGUUGGUGGGGUAGUGGCUUACCAAGGCUUUGACGGGUAGCCGGCCUGAGGGGGUGACCGGCAACAUGGGGACGGGGAUACGGCCCAGACUCCUACGGGGGGCAGCAGUGGGGAAUAUGGCACAAUGGGCGAAGGCCUGAUGCAGCAACGCGGCGUGCGGGAUGACGGCCUUCGGGUUGUAAACCGCUUUCGCCUGUGACGAAGCGUGAGUGACGGUAAUGGGUAAAGAAGCACCGGCUAACUACGU
rnacentral:rRNA from 1 species